rnacentral:rRNA from 1 species
AUUGAACGCUGGCGGCAUGCUUUACACAUGCGAGUCGAACGGUAACAGGCCGCAAGGUGCUGACGAGUGGCGAACGGGUGAGUAAUGCAUCGGAACGUGCCCAGUCGUGGGGGAUAACUACUCGAAAGAGUAGCUAAUACCGCAUACGAUCUAUGGAUGAAAGCGGGGGACCGUAAGGCCUCGCGCGAUUGGAGCGGCCGAUGUCAGAUUAGGUAGUUGGUGGGGUAAAGGCUCACCAAGCCAACGAUCUGUAGCUGGUCUGAGAGGACGACCAGCCACACUGGGACUGAGACACGGCCCAGACUCCUACGGGAGGCAGCAGUGGGGAAUUUUGGACAAUGGGCGCAAGCCUGAUCCAGCAAUGCCGCGUGCAGGAAGGAGGCCUUCGGGUUGUAAACUGCUUUUGUACGGAACGAAACGGCUCUGGUUAAUACCCGGGGCUAAUGACGGUACCGUAAGAAUAAGCACCGGCUAACUACGUG